GCCCCCGUUGUCUAAUGGUUAUGACGUCAGACUUCUAGAAACACUUUGAAACGCUUUAUUGCGUAAUUUUCCGGAUCUGGAGGUUGCGGGUUCGAGUCCCGCCGGGGGUU